AACUGUGUUUACGAGUGUCUUGUGUUCAGAUUGUUUUAAGUGAUAAUUUAACAAUAUUUUUCCAAAUAAAUGGAAAGAAACUUUUAUUUAUAUCAAAUAAUUGAGUGUCUCGACUGUGUGACAUUAUGUCUUGUGUGGUAUGGGGCUGCAGCUCACAUUCAGGAAGAAAAGAAAAUAGCCAACAACUUCUGUCGUUUCAUCGAUAUUAAAUCCAAAAGUGUCGACUGGAUUUACAUGAAAAGUCAGUUCAAGAAGACGAGAUGAAAAAUUUAAAAGAAAAGCUGAACAAGUCCCGCCUCAAGAUCAAACGACUUAAUGAAAAAAAAAAACAAUGUGACAGGGUGUCACAAAGACAGUUUCUAAGCAAAUUGACACUGUUUAGAAAUUAAUAAAUUUGUAUUUAUU